GGACCCGCACAAGCGGUGGAGUAUGUGGUUUAAUUCGAUGCAACGCGAAGAACCUUACCAGGGUUUGACAUCCUGCGAAUUUCUGGGAAACCGGAAAGUGCCUUCGGGAGCGCAGUGACAGGUGGUGCAUGGCUGUCGUCAGCUCGUGUCGUGAGAUGUUGGGUUAAGUCCCGCAACGAGCGCAACCCACGUCUUUAGUUGCCAGCAUUUAGUUGGGCACUCUAGAGAGACCGCCGGUGAUAAACCGGAGGAAGGUGUGGAUGACGUCAAGUCAUCAUGCCCCUUACAUCCUGGGCUACACACGUACUACAAUGGCAAGUACAACGAGUCGCAAUACCGCGAGGUGGAGCAAAUCUCUUAAAGCUUGUCUCAGUUCGGAUAGGAGUCUGCAACUCGACUCCUUGAAGUUGGAGUCGCUAGUAAUCG
rnacentral:rRNA from 1 species